rnacentral:ncRNA from 1 species
UUGAGCUGUAUGAGAUGAAAGUCUCAUAUACAGUUCUCAGAGGGGGAGUUUCGCCUAUCUCAAUAAAGUAUAUCAUUGGUUUGAAGAACGCCUCGAGAUUCAAGCAAUUGCGGAUGAUAUAACUGGUAAAUAUGUUCCCCACCCCAC